rnacentral:rRNA from 1 species
UACGGAAGGCAGCAGUGGGGAAUAUUGCACAAUGGGCGAAAGCCUGAUGCAGCUAUGCCGCGUGUAUGAAGAAGGCCUUAGGGUUGUAAAGCUCUUUUAGUGAGAAAGAUAAUGACGGUACUCACAGAAGAAGUCCUGGCUAACUCCGUGCCAGCAGCCGCGGUAAUACGGAGAGGGCUAGCGUUAUUCGGAAUUAUUGGGCGUAAAGAGCGCGUAGGCUGAUUAGUAAGUUAAAAGUGAAAUCCCAAAGCUUAACUUUGGAAUUGCUUUUUAAAACUGCUAGUCUAGAGAUUGAAAGAGGAUAGAGGAAUUCCUAGUGUAGAGGUGAAAUUCGUAAAUAUUAGGAGGAACACCAGUGGCGAAGGCGUCUAUCUGGUUCAAAUCUGACGCUGAGGCGCGAAGGGCGUGGGGAGCGAAAACAGGGAUUAGAUACC